rnacentral:rRNA from 1 species
AGCAGUGGGGAAUAUUGCACAAUGGACGCAAGUCUGAUGCAGCCAUACCGCGUGUGUGAAGAAGGCCCGAGGGUUGUAAAGCACUUUCAAUAGAGAGGAAGAUUAAGUAGUUAAUACCUGCUUAGUUUGACGUUACCUAUAGAAGAAGCACCGGCUAACUCUGUGCCAGCAGCCGCGGUAAUACAGAGGGUGCAAGCGUUAUUCGGAAUUACUGGGCGUAAAGCGCGCGUAGGCGGAUGAUUAAGUCAGUUGUGAAAGCCCUGGGCUCAACCUAGGAACUGCAUCUGAUACUGGUCAUCUAGAGUUUAAGAGAGGGAAGUGGAAUUCCAGGUGUAGCAGUGAAAUGCGUAGAUAUCUGGAGGAACAUCAGUGGCGAAGGCGACUUCCUGGCUUAAAACUGACGCUGAGGUGCGAAAGCGUGGGUAGCGAACGGGAUUAGAUACCCCGGUAGUCCACGCCGUAAACGAUGUCAACUAGUUGUUGGUCUUAUUAAAAAGAUUAGUAACGAAGCUAACGCGAU